UACGGAGGGUGCGAGCGUUAUCCGGAUUCACUGGGUUUAAAGGGUGCGUAGGUGGGCAGGUAAGUCAGUGGUGAAAUCCCCGAGCUUAACUUGGGAACUGCCGUUGAUACUAUCUGUCUUGAAUGUCGUGGAGGUAAGCGGAAUAUGUCAUGUAGCGGUGAAAUGCUUAGAUAUGACAUAGAACACCAAUUGCGAAGGCAGCUUGCUACACGAUGAUUGACACUGAUGCACGAAAGCGUGGGGAUCAAACAGG
rnacentral:rRNA from 1 species